GGGGCUCCAAAGUUUGAAGACAGGUGUGUACAAACAGAGGCUACAUGUCAGGAAUUAGGGCUGCAUCUCAGGCAAUUGGUGAGUAUAAAAUAAUAGUUCCCAAUUGAUUUCUGUAAGGUUUUACUUCCCCCGAGUAUAUUGUGCUUGAAAGAAUAACUGAAAACAGCUUCCAUUCCUAUUUUCCAAUUGAACGAUUAUCUGUAUAAUAAUUGAAUUAAAGAUAUCGAUUUACUGUGAGUUUAUGAAAUACCCAUUGAGGUUAAUGCUGUUGGUAAUAAUGUUCAAAUUAGAAGACACAAUAGAGUUAAUUUUGUCAUUUGGUCACGGAACUCAUCAUCAUCAUCAUCAUCAUCAUCGUUUAACGUCCGUUUUUAUAGUAGCAUGGGUCGGACGAUUUCACUGGCAAGGCAGUAGGCUGCGCCAGGCUCCAACUGUGAUCUGGCAAGGUUUCCACAUAUGUAUGCCAUUCCUAAUGCCAACCACUCCGAGAGUGUGGUGGGUGCUUUUACGUGCCACCGACACAGGAGCCAGUUGAGGGGGGCUGGCAUUGACCACGUUCGGAUGGUGCUUUUUACUUUCCCCCGGCACAGGGAACCAGUCAGGCGGAACUUGCAACAAACCACUGAAUAACAUUGUUAUAAAUUAAAAGGAUUAAAAAUCAAAUCUCUAAGAGUAUAAGUAUAAUGAUCAUUAACGUUGAUUAAAUAUUAAAUUUGGUAUUGAACGGUGAACAUCUGUUUGCAUUUAAACAAAACAUUGGUGUUGACAUAAAAUAUAAAGAUAGGAAUUAAAUAUGAGUUCCCUGUGUGACUUGAUCUCACAAAUCCUUGUUUGUAACUAUAUAUAAUAUACACUUAUUACAUUGUUUGAACAACAUUUACCAUCCAUAUAGUCAUUCUUUUUCUCACUCUUGUUAGAUUUUAGAUGAUAUUAAUGCUAAAAGAGGCACAGUUUUCUGAGUGUUUCACCUCUGGUUUUAGUUCUGACUUGAUUGUUGCAUUCAAAUUUGACUACUCCCACAGGUUUAACGUCUUGUUCCCUUCUACUUGGAUCUCCUGGCCCUUCUUUAUCUAACUUUUAUCUCCAUACUCCUCCCAUAUCUCUACAUCUCUCUCUUGUGCACUAAAUCUUCUAAACCCUAGUUUUGCUUCCAGCUCAUCUCUGCUCCGGGACUUCAGCACAUUAAUAUUACACUUCUUCUGAAGUAUGCUCACUUCAUUUCUUAACAGUUUUCAUACAUCCUCUAUACUCUGUGAAACAUUCCACUUUACAAAUACACAUCAAGGUUCACCAAGGAUCAGUCCUCAGCCCCCUUCUGUUCAUUAUAGUCCUCCAGACAAUAAAAGAGGAAUUCAAGACACUCUGCCCCUGGGAUCCUCUUUAUGCUGAUGACCUUGCUCUUAUAGACAAGUCACUGCCAGAACUGGAAACAAAGUUUAGCGUCUGAAAGCAAGGUCUAGAAUCGAAGGGCCUUAGGGUUAACCUAGUCAAAACCAAAGUCCUUGUUAGUAGGAAGGCUGUUAAAUCACAACCCCUUUCAGGUAGAUGGCCCUGCUCUAUCUGUAAAAAUGGAGAGGGUAGAAACUCCACACGAUGUACCCGGAGGAAGCUAUGGACACAUAAAAGGUGCAGCAAUAUCAAAGAAAGUUAACCGGGAAAAUAGUUUUUGUGUGUGGCAGCUGCUCUGGGGCAAUAAACACUGAAAGUGUACAGAAAACAGAUUCCAUCACAUGCCAGGGGAAGAAACUAGAAGUAGUUAAUAGCUUCUGUUACCUAGGGGAUCAAGUCUGUAGUGAGUGCGAUUGCUCUGCGUGUGUAGAGACUAGAGUAAGAAUAGCCUGGGCAAAGUUGAGGGAGCUCCUACCUCUGCUGGCAACUAAAGGUCUAUCGCUCAGGGUGAAAGGUAGACUGCAUGAUGCAUGUGUGCGAACAGCCAUGUUACAGGGCAGGGAAACAUGGGCCAUGGAUGCUGAGAACAUGCGUAGGCUUGAAAGAAAUGAAGUUAGUAUGAUUCGCUGGAUGUGUAAUGUCAGUGUGCAAUCACGACAAAGUUGGGCAUAAGAAGCAUCAAAUGUGGUGUGCAAGUGAGGCGACUGUGCUGGUAUGGUCAUGUGUUACGUAUGAAUGAAGACAGCUGUGUGAUGAAGUGCCACUCCCUCACUGUAGAAGGAACCUGUAGAAGAGGUAGACCCAGGAAGACAUGGGAUGAGGUGAUGAAGUAUGACCUUCAAACAUUGGCCUCACAAUGGCAAUAACAGGACACCGGGAUCUUGGGAGAUACGCUGUGAUUGAGAAAACCCAGCAACUAAGGUGAGAUUUCAGCCACGCAUACCCAGCCCUGUUGACAAUACUCCUAAUGCGUCGCCCGUUAUGAUAUGCUUGAGAAGAUAUGUUGAGUCAAAACCAAUAGUGUAGCUGUGGCCGGUGCCCCCUGUCUGGCCCCCGUGCCGAUGGCACGUAAAAAGCACCAACCAAACCUGACUGAUGACAGUAGCCCUUGAUUGGCUCCUAUGCUGUUGACACGUAAAAGGCACCCACCACACUCUCUGAGUGGUUGGUGUUAGGAAGGGCAUCCAGCUGUAGAAAUUCUGGCAGACCAGAUUGGAGCCUGGCGCAGCCUUUUGGCUUCCCAGACCCCGGUUGAACCGUCCAACCCACGCCAGCAUGGAAAAUCCAUACUUUCAAUUUGUGAUGUUUGAGAGUCCUUUCAGAAAUUCGAAAAAAGGUUGCUCUGACAGGAUCGUAUGAAGGAGAUGCCUGAGGACAUUACCCCUACAACGCUCCUAUGAAUAGAGGGCAGAGGAAAUGGAUGGAUGGAUGGAUGAAAUUGUUUAACUGUUGGUGGUCUUUGUUCAUUCUUUAUUGACACAUUCUUCUCCAUCUUCAGCCUUUACUUCAAAGUGUUUGUUAUUUCUGUCAGCAUCUUUAGAAAUAGAAAAAUAGUGUUUUGUAGUUUCCUUAUUUCUUAAGUAUUUCUCAUUCGUCUAUUCACAUAAUUUCUUUGUUAUACAAAUAUAACCAUCCUACCGAAGCUGUAGACCAGAGUUUCCAGAUUCUGUACAAAGGCUUUACAAGUUGUGAUGCAGCGAAACAUACACUUUGAACGUCCAGGGAAGCUCUUGAUGAAACUGAAUGAAACUUGAAUGUCUGAUCAUGAGACGUAAAGUAAAUUUCUUGUAAAUGUUGCAGUUCUUUAGCCCCCGAGUCUACAUUCAAUAAACAGAAACCUUUGAUGAAAUGCCUUCCAUCCAGGACCAUCCAGUCUUUUCUCUAGGUAUAGUCAAUCCAGAACCACAUUGACUAAUGCGUACUUCAAUAAGAUGAUAAGUUGUGAACUGAGUAGGUUUUGGCUACUAAUUCUAGCAGAUCUCCCUCCUACAUGGAAAUCCCUUUCUUAGUUUGUCUCCCUUGUUAGAGAUUAACUGCGAAAAUAACGAUACACUUUGAAAUUUCAUUUGUUGAUGUUGUUGUUGUAAGUCCCAUCAUCUCCCUAGACACUUCCUCUGCUGUAUAGACAAAAUUAAAAUCAUGUGAAAUUCUUCCAAAAAUGAAAUGUGUAAUUCCAUUUUGUAAAGCUUGCUUAAAAACAUAUUUUGCUUUCAAGUAGAACCAUCUUGUAGACACAAUUGUCAAUAAAUAUAUGGUUUCCAUUUCUCGCAGCCAAUAUUUUUACAUUAGGAGUAUUCCAUAUGAAUUCAAACAAAAUUUAAAAGGAAGAAACUUUUCACUUGACCAACUCAGAUUUGGCUCAGAUGGUUUUUGGUAAUGCAUAAAGAAUACAUGUAUAAUUAGUGUUCAACCACUAAGGGUUUCAAUGAUAUGCCCUACAAAACAUUGGGGGUCACACCCCUCGUGGAGCGCGAAUGUCAAUUUAUACGAUUUUGGUGCUGAACGCUUUUAAAACUAUUCAUAUUUCUCUGAAAUUGGCUACAGCGUGUAAUCUGCAAUCAGAUCGGCCAGAAUCUGCUAUCAGAAUUCCUCUAUUAUCUUCCUCCAUAUUAACGGUAUUGGCCUUUCAAAUAAGAACAUUUUCAUGGGCAGAAAGUUUUUAAAAUAUCAAUAUUCAAGGGACCCCAUUGGGACAUGAUGUAAUACAAGAAAACGUGUGGUGCGUUUUUUCGCUUUCAGGAUUGAUCUGUCCGUGGUAAGCAUACUGAUAAUGCUCAAGGCAUAAUAUAGCAUUUAGAGGCUCCUGAAAAUGGCUCAGGGUGAAAAAAUAACAUUGUUGACAAUUUUCGAUUCCUACACUUCACCAUCUGAACAAUUAAACAAGGGAAUGUAACUUGGACUCCAGGAAUGCAUUUAUCCAAACUUUAUUCGUUCAAACAUUCAAUUUAUUUUCUCAUCUCCUCCUCGGUUGUUCAUUCACUUUCCAAAUGAUAUGGAAAAUAAUUGGAUCAAGUCCGAUGGUGCGCAUAUGGUGCCCUCUAAUAGAUUCAUGCAUACACACACCUUCAUUAUUUGUAAUGAAUUUCAUGCCCCCUAGUGACAUUCACCCGCACACUUUUGGUGUGUAUGCGCAAUAGUCCUCUAAACCCAAAAUAUUGACACCCAUCAAUACAGAAAUGUAUGGUAAGCAUUUUGCAUUCUAUUUUACUCCGUAUUUUGGCGACAUUGAAUAUAAAUUUCGAAGAGGCACCAAUGCGCAUUCGUUAACCUUUGUGCCAGUAAUUUGGUCACGGAAAUAAUUUACUGGAACCUUUGAUGUAAGUGCUCAUAUGGUGCGGAAAUCACAGCAACUGAGCAAAGAAGAGGCUAUUUUGGCUCAUCCUGACCCAAGGAAAGGUACGUCCCGGGACGUCAGAAUCGAAGGAAUAUUCACGUAUUUGUCCAGCUAAAAAGGAAAUUGUUACUGUAAUUGAGAACGGAUUAAAAGUCCACCGACUAAAAUAGCCAUUGCUUGUGAAUCUUCAGAAAUAGUUUUGUGUGGAAUACAAGGAAAACGCUGGAUAUAAUAAGGUAGAUUUUUGUAAGUUUUAUGAAUUGCAACUGAAAUGAACGGAUAAUACAAUUGUAUGAGUCGGAGGAAUAUUCGCUUCUUUGUGACUUGCAACCAAAAUGCUGUGUUCAAGUUACUACCUCAGGCACGCAUUCAGUAUGUGUCUGUGAGAAUCACCAACAUGCAAAACGUAUCGCCGCUGCCAUUCCUGGUAGUCACGACUACAGAGACUUGCUUGGCAAAAUGGUCUCUUCCGUGAGCAAUCGAGAUUGUAUGUUGCUCCUAUGUGAGUCCCGUCCUUUUGAACAACGUUUUUUAUUAGACGUAUUUUAAUCACUUGGAGGUUUAGUAACGCACAAACAGUUGGCAGAUGUGGACUGGUCAGCUCCUCCUUUAUGACUAACUUCCCCAGUGAAUGCCUUCAUUCAAACCGCUGAAAGUGUGUUUGAAUCUCUACAACAACAUCAUUUCAUAGCAGAGGCCCGAUCUUAUUUCUUUAAUCAUCAAAACGAUGACCUGACAUCAAGUGAAGCAAUAGUAUUGUUGGACUUUACAGAAAAUUAUAGCUUUGUAGUACAGGACGUCCUGCAAGGGUUUCAUCGGAACAAAUUCCAGGAAAAUAUUCAUCCAUUCGUGAUCUGUUAUAAGACUGGUUUAAACCCACAAUGCACUUCAAUCUGUGUCAUAUCUGAUUGUUUGAAACGUGACAACCACAUUGUGCAUGCUUUUAUUACGAGGGUGAUAUCGCAUAUAAAGACAGAACUUCCAUCUCCUGUACUUCAGUGACGGUGCAGCCGACCAAUACAAGAACUAGAGACACCAAACAAAUCUCUGUCAUCAUCAAAAUGAUCAAGGACUUGCAGUAGAGUGGCAUUUUUCUCCAUGUCAUGUGCAAAAAAGUCAGCAAGUAGCCACAGAAAGACAUUUUCUCACGGAUCCCAAGGUGUGUAGCUGAGUAUGUGCAAGCAUUCCAGGAAUAAUGUUCUUUUACGUCUGAAACGAAAACAGUAGAACAGUGAAAUUAAUUGGCACAAGAUCCCAUCACUGCUUCAUUCUUUCUUCAAGAUCUGAUCUUCUAAUGAAAAGAAUAUCAGCCGAUGACAAUUUCACUCUUUUAGGUGAGGAGCAGACAGCAUCUGAGCUGCAUGUUUCAAAGUUACAAUCCUGAAAAUAUGUUGGAUACACGAAUGAAAAUGUUUAACAAGGAGAUCAAGUGAGCAGGUUUAUUCUACGUGAAGUGUCUGUCAUGUGUUUAUGGUAAGAUCAUUGAUGACCAAACUGGUUGCCAUCGGAAUUAAGCAAAGAUGAGAAUAAUGUUGGUUAGAGAAGGGCAGAAGUGAGGGCACAAUUUCACGUCAUAUGUUUAGUGCAGAUAUAAGAAAGGAAAGACAAACCUAAUAAAAGAUUGGUGUUAUCAAGUGAUAAUUAAAUGAAAUAAUGACACAGUUGUUAGAUUAUGUCGAAUGUCUCAAGAGAUAAAAGACAUUUUGGAAGACUGUAAAUAUUAAACUAUUACAUGGUAAUCCUGUUGAAACUAUAAACUUUCUAACCAAAAUGAUUGUCUUCAACAGUUGAUUAUCUAUGAAAGGAAUCCCUGAUGUAAAAUAUAGAUUAUUAAUAAAGAUGGAGAAAUUUUUCUAUAAUGUUUGAAACUUGGAAAUAUUUAUUUCAGUGAAUCGAACAUUUGAAGUCAAGGAAACACAGACAUUGGCUGAACCUGUAGGUGAGUAUAAAAUAACAGCACUUGAUUGAUUUAUGUAAGGUUUAUUCUCUGCUGAACUAUUUUGGGAAGUUUUAGCAGUAAACUAAUCAUAUUAAACAUAUCGAUACUAUUGACAUUUCAUAAAGUAUCCAAUCAGGUUAGCAUGGUUGGUGAAAUGGAUAAAUUAGAAGCGAAAUAGAUUUCAGGUUCUCUUUUGGAACAGCCAAAUAAUAUAUGUUGUGGUUUAACAGGUGAGGUAAUGACAAAGGUUUUGUUUGUUUUAUACUCUUUUACUCGGUUCAGUCAUUUGACUGUCACCAUGCUGGAGCACCACCUUUUUAGUCGACCAAAUCGACCCUAGGACUUAUUCUUUGUAAGCCUAGUACUAAUUCUAUCGGUCUCUUUAGCCAAACCGAUGCAUUACCUAGACGGAAACACACCAGCACUGGUUGUCAAGCAAUGUUGGGAGGACAAACACAUACACACAUACAUACAUACAUACAUACAUACAUACAUACAUACAUACAUACGACGGGCUUCUUUCAGUUCCUGUCUACGAAAGCAACUUACAAGGCUUUGGUUGGCUCGAAGAUAUAGAAGAAGACACUUGCCCAAGGUGCCACACAGUGGGACUGGACCCAGAACCAUCUAGUUCGUAAGCAAGCUACUUACCACACAGCCACUCCUACGCCUGUAUUUUAAAAAUGUUUACUGACAAGAUAUUCUUGUUAUUUUACCUGAUGUCUCUCAUAAUCUGGCAGACUUGCAAUGAAAUGGGUUCCAAAUAUGACCACCCUCAUAUUUUUCACUGAUAAUAAAUCUAUCAUUGCAUCCAGUAAACAUUGUCUUUAUUCAAGUGGAAGACGUUGGUUUGCUGCUCAGAAAACCGUUGUCUCUUUCCCUUUCUUCAAACUUCAUAGAGGCUGUAUGAUACAAUACAAUCAAAUACAUUCAAAGAGACAUCGGACGGGUUGAAAGAAGAAAGGAUAGUGAACACCUUAGAUAAAAGCUCCUUAAGAACCCUUCUGAUGGUACUAGGAUAUUUUUGCCGAUGUUAAGUGGGGGAGAUUAUAAUGCACUAAAGAUGAAGUGAACAAGAAUAUACGGGAGACAUAAGAGGACGUAGUGUUUCUUGGUUACAAGACCACAUCCAUACGAACCGUGAUUAUAGUCCCUAUGUUUCAGUAAGUUUUGAUGGUAUUGUAUUUUUGCUUCAUUUCAUAGGAAACACUAUGUUGUCGAACAUUUCUGUAUACGUAUUUGACACUAAUUAGAUGUAUUUUAUAAAGCAUUUUAGAAACAUUUUCAAUUAGUUGACGUCAAUGAUCAUUAGUGACAAAUGUGGUAAAACAGUGAUGGUGGAAUGGGGUGUGAGAAGGCUUUCAUAUUCCUUGUAAUGUUGUUAACUACGACAUCAGGACGACCGUUUUCUGUCAGGUAAAUAUUUCUACAGAGGUGUCCAUUUUGUCCCCUCAGAUUUUGAUUGAACUGUGUUUUCAGCCCAUUCAGAGGCACCGCAUUGAUUAAGGGGACAUCAAAGGAGAGAUGAAAGUUUGGUUGAUAUAUAGAAGAGGGUUGUCAGAAAUAUCCUCGAGUUUUCAGAAUCACUUCAAUUCUACCAUUUCAGAUCUUUUCACAGCUAUAAUGUAAGGAUGAAGAGUUACCUGUAGUAGGGUGAAGUUUGUGCAAGUGUAUCCUCUUUGAGGACACCUGCUAUCAUUUUCUGUUCCACCUGUGUAGAAGUAAUAUUCACUCACCUUUAUAAACACUGCUCUAUUAAGGUGUUUUAAAGCAUUUCAUGCAUCAGCUGACAUUCUGGUGAACAGUGAUGCAGGAAGUUGAAAACUAAUCAUUACCUGCAGUAAUGUUUAAGAAGGAGAUCAGGUGUGAGUGUUUAUACAACUUAAAGUGGUGUAUGUAAUGUGUUAAUGGUUAGAUCAUUGAUGACCAAACUGGUUGCCAUCGGAAUUAAGCAAAGAUGAGAAUAAUGUUGGUUAGAGAAGGGCAGAAGUGAGGGCACAAUUUCACGUCAUAUGUUUAGUGCAGAUAUAAGAAAGGAAAGACAAACCUAAUCAAAGAUUGGUGUUAUCAAGUGAUAAUUAAAUGAAAUAAUGACACAGCUGUUAGAUUAUGUCGAAUGUCUCAAAAGAUAAAGGAAAUUUUGGAAAGCAGUGUAAAUAUUAAACUAUUACAUGGUAAUCCUGUUGAAACUAUAAACAUUCUAACCAAAACCAUUGUCUUCAACAGUUGAUUAUCUAUGAAAGAAAUCUCUGAUAUAAAAUAUAGAUUAUUAAUAAAGAUAGAGAAAUUUUUUUUAAAUGUUUGAAACUUGGAAAUAUUCAUUUCAGUGAAUCGAACAUUUGAAGACAAGGAAAUGCAGACACUGGCUGAACCUGUUGGUGAGUAUAAAAUAACAGCACUUGAUUGAUUUCUGUAAGGUUUAUUCUCUGCUGAACUAUUUUGAUAUCAGAAUGAUAAAGAUCAGCUUCCAUUCUUACCUGUCAAUGGGAAGUUUUAGCAUUAAACUAAUCAUAUUAAACAUAUCGAUACUAUUGACAUUUCAUAAAGUAUCCAAUCAGGUUAGCAUGGUUGGUGAAAUGGAUAAAUUAGAAGCAAAAUAGAUUUCAGGUUCUCUUUUGGAACAGCCAAAUAAUAUAUGUUGUGGUUUUACAGGUGAGGUAAUGACAAAGGUUUUGUUUGUUUUAUACUCUUUAACUCGUUUCAGACUGUCUCCAUGCUGGAGCAACACCUUUUUAGUCGAGGAAAUCGACCCUAGGACUUAUUCUUUGUAAGCCUAGUACUUAUUCUAUCGGUCUCUUUAGCCAAACAGUUAAGUUACGCGGACGGAAACACACCAGCACCGGUUGUCAAGCAAUGUUGGGAGGACAAACACAUACAUACAUACAUACAUACGACGGGCUUCUUUCAGUUUCCGUCUACCAAAUCCACUCACAAGGCUUUGGUUGGCUCGAGGCUAUAGUAGAAGACACUUGCCUAAGGUGCCACACAGUGGGACUGAACCCAGAACCAUCUGGUUCGUAAGCAAGCUACUUACCACACAACCACUCCUACGCCUUUAUUUUUAAAAUGUUUACUGACAAGAUAUUCUUGUUAUUUUACCUGAUGUCUCUCAUAAUCUGGCAGACUUGCAAUGAAACGGGUUCCAAAUAUGACCACCCUCAUAUUUUUCACUGAUAAUAAAUCUAUCAUUGCAUCCAGUAAACAUUGUCUUUAUUCCAGUGGAAGACAUCGGUUUGCUGCUCAGAAAACCGUUGUCUCUUUCCCUUUCUUGAAACUUCAUAGAGGCUGUAUGAUACAAUACAAUCAAAUACAUUCAAAGAAACAGUGGACGGGUUGAAAAAAUAAAGGAUAGUGAACACUUUAGAUAGCAGCUCCUUAAGAACCCUGCUUACGGUGCUAGGAUUCAUUGGGAAAUUUUAGCAGUAAACUAAUCAUGAUGACACCUAGAAGUUAUGAGCUGGGUGUGUCCGGUUCCUUUAGCUUGUUAGGUAUAAGGGCCGAAACGCUUGUGGAAUGGGAGUUCUUCUACUGAAGAUCUCUCCUGCUGUGUACUCACCUUGCCACGAGUUCCCCCUUUUUAUUGUAACGCUUUAUCCUAGUUGAAGCGUUGAGUCGUGUGUUUGCGGUGAAAUAUGUGAUGCGCAAAUUGAUUGACAUCAGAAUUAAGCAGAAACUGAGAAGAAUAUUGUUUGGUGAAAUAUGAAAGUGAGAGGAAAAUGCCGUGUCUUAGAUUUGGCCCAAAUGUAAGAAAGGAAAAACAGAAGAGAAAAGCAGGGUUGUCAAGUGAUAAUUAAAUGUGAUAAUUACUACAUUGUUAGAUCAUGUAGAGCAUCUUAAUAGAAAGAGGAGAUUUAGGAAGGUUGGUCCAUUUUGUUGCGGACAUAAUAUUGAGCUAUUACAUAGGAAAUCUGUAGAAAAUAUGAAAAUGUUAACCGAAGCCAUAGUGGUUUCUCAUUGCGCAUUGUAGAAAGGAUUAUCAAUACAAAUAAAGAAAUUUUACAAGACUCGAGUGCCACAAAAGCAGCCCCUUGAGAAAGUGAAACACAAAACUUAGACCACGAAAAUUAUUGAUGGAAGCAAUAGACUUCUUUUAUAUAUGCGAAAAGAUUAAGCAUGUGAUGAGGUGUUGCUAUAACAAUUUCAAAAUGUGCUUCAUGAAAGAAAACUUCACAACAGACUGGCACCUUCUUGAGAUUGGAAUUGCUGUAGUUUGCACAGCAUUUGUUUUCUGCUUAUGAUGGAGAUUUUAUGAUCAGCAGGUUGAUCAUAAGAAACGGCUCAAGUGGAUUCAUCUAAAGAGACUCCAUGGAUGACAUCACAAUACUAACAAGAGACCCAAAGAUAUGCAAAUAGUUCUGGAUCAACUAAUUACUUGGUGAAUAAUGAAGGUUAAAGUAAAUACGUAAUGCAGUCUGUCAUUUGUCAUAUUUAAGCAGAAGCAAGUAAAUUUCAAAAUAACAGGAGAAACGAGACCAAAUGUUAAAGACAAUCCUAUAUAAAGAUUAGGACGAUGGUGUGCUAGCUUGCUGUCUGGUAGGAAACGAGGAAUUGAUACAUACCUUGUCACAGAUGUAAGAAUUAUAAGCAGUAGAUACGCCAAAGUGUCUGGACAAAUAUCAGAUUUGUCGCUUCCAGUUUGAUCUGUAUCUCCGUCUCGCUUAAAUAUUCUUGAGAAUCACAUUUUACAUACCAUUUAAGAUAUAUUCCUUAGAGUAACAUGUUGCUCACCAGUUGCAUGUAGUUAAUGAUAUUUGAUACAAAUGUAUAGUGUUUUAAGACACCUGUUAUUAUUAUUUAGCUGUUCGACCUGUGUAGAACUAAUCCUCGCUCACCUGGAAAGAUAUCUGCUUCAUUAAGGAAUAUGAAUGACUUUCAGAUGUCUUCAAAUAUUUCCUGAAUCAGCUGACAUUCUGGUUAACUGAGAUGCAAGAAGUUGAAAUUCAAGAUUAACAGCAUCAAUGUUUGAGAAAGAGAAUAGGGAUGAUGUGGGAGAAGGAGACCCAGGAAGGCAUUGGACGAAAUGUUGAAGGCCGAUCUCAAAACACUGAGCCUUACGAAACAAAUGACAGAGAUGAAAUAUGGAGCGCAUUACUGUACUCGAAAAGACGUGCCCACCCUAACUGAAUUGAGAUCCUAAAAUUAAGGUACCACAUAAAAAGGAUUAGAAUGGGUGCUGCACUGGUGCUGGUAAAAAUGCACUAGUGCUGGUGAAACGAAAAAUGUAUGCAGCAUAUUGUGUAAAGUGGUUGGUGUAAGGAAGGGUCUCCAGCCAUAGAAACCAACAGAAAAGAGACUAUAGAACCUGGUGCAACACCUGGCCUGGCUAGUUCCUGGCCAUUCAACCCACGCCAGAAUGGAUAAUGGAUGAUGGUAGGAAUACUACUGAAAUUUCGGAAAAUAAUCACCAAGUUUGGCAUAGUUGGGAAUAUGGAUAAAUUACCAUUUCAGCUAUUUUCCCUGUAAUAAUGUGUGAAUGACAAUUGAUAUGUAUUUAAUGAGGGUUUGUGAAAAUAUAAAGUAUUUUAGGACACCUGUAAUAAUUUUCCGUUCCAUUUCAUCUGUUGAGAAUUACGUCUUUAAGGGGAAUGAGCGACAUUGAAAUGUCUUCAAACGUUUCCUGAAUCAGACGACACUCUGGUGAACUGUAGAUAAGGGCGGUUUUAUGAACAAGUACCAACAGCAACAGUUAAGGAAGACUUACUUGAAAUGGUGUGUCAGUUGUUUGUGGGUAGAUCAUAUAAUGAUCAUGCUGGUUUAACAUUGGAAUACUGGAAGAUGAGAAGAAUUUUGGUUAGUAAUUUCUAGACAUGAGAGGAGAAUAUAUCAUUUCUUACGCAUAGCACAGUUACAAUAUGUUCUCACUAAAUUUGACAACUGUUUUUCAGAGAUAACAGUAUGCAUUGAUGAACAAUCAAUGUCGAUGGACAUUAUAAAGAUGAAAAAUGUAAUUGAGAAAAAGUUAGCUGACAUACAGGAUUGGAAGAUCACUGGAGACUGGGAAAGAUUUACCUGUAUUAUGAUGCACAAAUACCAUGUAUCAAAAUGUCAACAUCAUGGCUGCUGUUCAAUACUCUGUAAACAUUGUAAAGCUGCAACGGAGUCUACGAAGCAGUGACCAGCAUGUCUUCAGAUGUGUCUCCGUUGAAGCUGACGUCUUUGAACGCAGCCUUAAGUUCAAUUCAGAUGGCUGUUAAUGCUCCUAGAGACGGUGGUCAAAUCUGGCUGGACCCGGUCGCUGUUCGAGAGGCCUUAUACAUGACAGCAGAAUGCAGUUCCUUUCCAUACCAGCAGGAAGAAUCAGAAGUGACUGUCGGAGAAUUUAUACGGCUUCCAUGGACCCAUGUUUAGCCUCCUAAUUGCCUUGAUUGUAAUCCCAUGGAUUAUUAUGUCUGGAGCAGAGUUGAAAAAGAGACCAUCCGCUCUGACCGCAACAACUGAAACAGGAAAUGAGGUUGGAUUAGAGAAAAACUCCUUCAGAACCCUUAUGAUGUUAAUAGGAAUCUAAAUGCAGAUGCUAUGUGAAGUAGUGUAAAAUGUACUGAGGAUGAACUGGACAGGUAUAUACAGGAUCCCUACAGUGACCCACAGCAAGGCCAGCAGUUCCAGCUCAAGGAGGGUUUGAAAUAUUGAAUGAAGCUGGGAAUCAAAUUUCAGCAAAGUGAUUUCAACCAACACCAAUCAGAUAGCUGUGUGAAGAAGGCAAGAGCAAUGGGUGCCCCAGAAGGCGAUAGUAUACCAUAGAAGGUGUACAAGUAUUUGUACAGGAUUCUGUUAUAAGCUUUACGUACGACUUAGAGAAUUGUGGUACAGAAGUAAACUAGUUCGUCGAGUAAUAAUUAAAUCAGAUAACUGCUAAGUUAAUUGAUAAUGUAGGAUAUUUUAAUAGAUACAAGAAGUUUAGGGAAGGUGAGUCUAUUUAGUUGUGGAUCUAAAUAUUGACCAUUGAUAAUAGGAAUGUCUUACAAUAUAAAAUACACUAAUAAAAUAAAGACCAAUUAACAGAGACAAAGAAAUUGUACUGUGAAGUGUAAAGUUUGGAAAUAUUUAUUUCAGAGUCUCGAAACCUGAAUGGGAAGUAUCUCAAAAGAGCAGCAGAGAAGUUAGGGGCAACUGGCAGCAAGCAGGUGAGUAUAGAAUACCUAUUUGCUUUCUAUAAAUUUUGCCAUUACUUGAAGUUUUGUUUGUUAAAAUGACAAAGAAAAAGUUCCAUUCGUAAUUUCCUGUUGAAAUGUUAGCUAAAGAUAUUACUGAAACUUCAUAAAAUAUUCACCGAAAUUAGCAUAGUUUUGCAUACUUGGUGAAAUUAGAAAAUACAAUAGAGUUGAUACAAGGAACGAAGUUCUAUUGUUGUUUAAAGGUAAACAGGUGAGUUAAUAGCGACGCUUCUGUUGUUUACGUUGUUUACGUUUCUACUUAAUUUAAUGAUAGAUUGUUGUUGUUGUUGUGUAGACUUAAUCUGGCAAUAUUAUGAAGAAAGGUGUUCCAGGUGUGACAUAACUGCUUCACCUGGGAGACAAGGACCAAAUUACCAAAUGGAACUUUUUAAACAGGAGAGUGUGCAUUUUAUGUGACAUGUUGUAGUCUGCCCUUUCGCCAGUCUGUUUUCCUAUAUUUAUAGUAAUUCUUUAGCCCCAGGUCAACCUAUUGUCUUGUCUCUAAACAGACAAGUCACUUUGUUGAUUGUCUUCAUUGCUGGAUUGAACUCAGUACUUAUAAGUUAAUGAAGCACUUCCUAAUUAUAAAAUAAUUAUGCCAUCAUAUGUAAAUUCGAAUUGAUUUUGUUUCUCACUUGAAAUCACUUCACUCUUCAUUACAUUACAAAAGUCAUUUGGAAAGGCAUGAACAUCACAAUAACCCACUUCCCCUUGUCUGAAUGUGUAACAACAUAAAAUACCAUUUAUACAAUGUUCCCAUUAUUUACACAAAUGCCUUCCCAUGGUACCUAUAUGCAUCUAGGUAGACUGCAUCAUAGAGAGACGCCUUUAGCAGGGAUAUAGAGCAGUGCCGGGGACUAGAUUUGAACCUUCCAGCCUAGAUACAAGAAGUCAUGACAAUAUCCUGUCAGUCAGCUGAUAGAAAUGGUUUAUCUAAAUUAAGAGAGGAUAUCAUCUAUGACAUGUCGAACAUGUUAUACCUUUGUAAUUAAUAUAAAAUCUAACAGUCAUAUACUGGGCUAAAAUCAAUCCACAAACAACGGUUCAUCAUCAUCAUCAUCUUGUUUCAUUUCUCGAAGUUUGAAUGAGUUAGACUACUUAUCUCACAGCUGUUGUCGUCCUUUGACAGCUUUAACUUCUUGUUUACUUCCAUCUGGAUUUCCUGGUACUUCUUCAUCCAGCUUGUAUCUUCCGUACGCCUCCCAUAUCUGCACCACCUAGUUUUUCUUCCAGUUCAUUUUUUUCUCCCUGAUUUCUACACAUUAGCAUUACACAUCCAGUAAAGAAUGCUCUCUUAAUUUCUUGCCAGUUUUCAUACAUCCUCCAUAUUCAAUGCAUCAUUGCAUCAUACAAUCUGCCCUUCAUUUGGAAACGGAACCUCUUUGUUACCAACAGCCAUAAUAGCUAACUGUGCAUUUUUCACCUCAUCUUUUGCUCUAAAUAGUAUGAAUGCAAAAUAGUUUCCUCCACUUUUAAUUAUGUUACCAAGGUAACAGAAACCAUCAACUACAACUUCCAUAGUUGUUCUUACUAUAGCGACCCCCGUAUAUCUGCUAAUGACAAAGUAUUUCCUCUACCCUGUGAACAUACCUCUGGUCCCACUGCAUCACCUUGGCUUAUAGAAUUCCUACUUACCCACCUCUUUCCUGUUAAUUAAAACUCUAUUCAUUGCUAGGUUUACUCCAUUGUCGACAUCUCUCUCCAUUGUGGCCUUGAUCCAGUGAAAGAAAUCCUUAUUAUGAGUCAUUAACCAAGAAAAUUAAUUUCGUGUCUUCUAUAAUAUUUGAGGAGAACUAAGAAAUAUUAUAUUUUUUGUGUCAUUGUGAUCAUUCUGGUAUCUUGUCUAUUUGUUAUUUAAUUGGUCACCGUGUACCGAAUAUUACAGGUAAUGUUUGUCAACUCAGUCCCCACUUUCCAGAUAUGUCUAAAUGUUGAUAUUCCAGACGAGGAAGGGGUAUCACACAUCAUUAUUUCCAGCGUUGAUGUUAUCAGAUGGUUUUUCAAAGCCUUCCUUAAAAAGCAUAUUUUCCACACAAAUACUGCUCCUGUCAGCUGUUUACCAUACAUUUUCUCAAAUCCUUCAUUCUUUUUAAUAUUUCUUCUUCUUACUUCUUUAUUUUAACCUCUUUGUUAUUUUUGUCAACAUUCUUAAAAAUAGAGAACAAUGUCUUAUAGUUUUCGUGUUUCUUAUUUAUUUCGUUAUUUCUCUAUUGAUGUAGAUUCUUUGUUAUAUUUAUAACUUACAGUACAUAGUCUUUGUAUUAUUGUUAAUGUUGUUGUUGCUGUUAUUUUCUGUCGUUGUAUCUUUUGCAGGUAUUUUUCUAGGAGUUCCAGCAAUUGACCAGGAUAUUAUCAAGAACGAUUUUCCUCAUGACACAGUAAAACAGAGUUAUCAAAUGCUUUGUGAGUGGUUUAUAAAUUGUAAACCAGAGGAACGUACAGUUGAGACCCUCAGAAGAGGCCUUAAAGAUGCUGAGUGCUUUGCUGCCCUUGAGUAUCUCUCAUUAUAUGAACGGUGAAUUUCUGUGUAAAUUCUACUGUUGUUUACUCCCAGGUGAAUGCUGACCAAAGAGAGAGACCUUUGACCAAAGUAUAGAGAACCAAGAACCACAUUCUCCAAUUUGUCCUCCUUUACAAUGAUGAGGUGUGGAGUGCAGUGGAUUUAGCUACUAAUUCUAGCAGAUCUAUCUCUCACAUAAGAGAUACCCUUCACUGGUUUGGUUCCUUUGUUAGAAAUUAGCUUUUGAAAUAAAGAUAAACUUUGAAAUAUCCGUU
rnacentral:lncRNA from 1 species